UAAGAUAUAAGCCAACAACUGCUUUUGACCCCUAUGUUCUAUUUUUAGCCAUGGUGGCCAUGUUUGUCGAUUGAUCAAAACUUCGGAUACAAUUUAUAAACUAGAUACCCUAAGUAACAUUUAGUUAAAGUUUGAAGGUAUUUGGCCCAGUAGUUUUAGAGGAGAAGAUUUUUGAAAUAGUUUACGACGACAGACGACGGACGACGACGGACGCCAAUUGAUGACAUAAGCUCACAUGGGGCCCUUCGGGCCCUGGUGAGCUAAAAAUUGAAAGAUUUUCUUCAUCUAUAAAGGUCUUUCUCAUUGUUACUUUCAAAAUAAGAAUAUUUCUUAUUUUCCCCAAAAAAUGUAUUUUUUUAUCGAUUUUUUCAUUUUCUUAUUUUCCUGAAUUGUUGGCUACCAAGAUGUGCAUUUUGCAAAAAGAUAAAUAACUAUAUAUAUAUAUAUAUAUAAUAUUUUUAUUAUAUUUGAAUAAAACUUUUCAGAACC